rnacentral:lncRNA from 1 species
CUGAAUCAAGUAAGGUAUGUAUCCAUAAGAGUCUCUUAUACAAAUAUGUACUAGCAUAAAGCAGAGUACAAAACAGAGAAUCCUUCUCCGGUAAUCCACGAGAAGAAAACACACAAUAGUGAUCAUGAUCUAUACACAAUCUCAUACUCCAGAGACGUGCUCGUAUACUCACAGCACUGAUACGAGUAAGUGCCUAGUUCACCUUCACUCCGAACUCCAUGUGAACAUUGUCUGUGAUUUACCCACACAGAUAGGUUUAAGAGCCCAACACAUAGGUUUCAAAUAUUGCCAAACUCUUUUAACAAAACAGAACAAAACAAUGUCGCAAAUAAAUGCGAAACAAAACAAGACAAUUAUAAAUGAGU